CUACGGGGGGCUCCAGUGGGGAAUAUUGGACAAUGGGCGAAAGCCUGAUCCAGCAAUGCCGCGUGUGUGAAGAAGGCCUUCGGGUUGUAAAGCACUUUCAGCAAUGAAGAAGUAAACUUUAUUAAUACUAAAGUUUAUUGACGUUAAUUGCAGAAGAAGUACUGGCUAACUCUGUGCCAGCAGCCGCGGUAAUACAGAGAGUGCGAGCGUUAAUCGGAAUUAUUGGGCGUAAAGGGUGUGUAGGUGGUUAAAAAAGUUAGAUGUGAAAGACCUAAGCUUAACUUAGGAAUUGCAUUUAAAACCUUUUAACUAGAGUAUUGUAGGGGGAAGUAGAAUUUCCGGUGUAGCGGUGAGAUGCGUAGAUAUCGGAAGGAAUACCAGAGGCGAAGGCGACUUCCUGGACAAACACUGACACUGAGACACGAAAGCGUGGGGAGCAAACAGGAUUAGAUACCCCAGUAGUC
rnacentral:rRNA from 1 species